AUUCUUCGGGUCGUCCUGUGAUAACUGCUUUGUCGGUUGUCCCAAUCGUGUUUGUGACAAAAUAUCCGGAAAUUGUAGUCCUUGCCUCAACGGCUUCUAUGGGGUGAAGUGUGAUCGGUUAUGUUUCUCAAAUUGUGAAAACAACACAUGCACACAAAAUGAAGGGAAAUGUACAGCGUGCAAACCUGGAUAUUAUGGUGAUUUCUGCAACACAAGCUGCCCGUCCAAUUGUAAAGGGGAUACUUGUAAUCAGACGAGUGGGUUAUGUACAGCGUGUACUCCCGGGUAUUAUGGAAGCAAUUGCAAUCAAAAUUGCUUGUUCAACUGUAAAGACAACCUAUGUAUGCAAUUCAAUG